GGUUUAUCGUUAUUCUCCUUGAAGGCACUGCAGCAUACCACAAAACCCCUUGUCCCUCUCUCACGUUAAACGGCAGAGCCACUGCAACAAGAAGCAGCAGAGUUCGCCGCUGCUCCGCAACCUUACCCUAUCAAUUUUCGUCCUUGUUUUCGUAAUUGCAGCGAAGAAUGGGGAAGCGUAAGGAGCGGAUUCAGAACCCGGAACCCUUCGAUCCGUACGGCGCCGACCCCGCGAAAACGAAGAAGCGCUCGAAGGCGCCGAAGCGGCACCAGCAGGAGGAGCAGUUCAUCGCUCCCAAACUCAGCUCCAAGAUCAUGAAGCAGGCGCUAAUCCAGCAGAAGGAGGAGGAGAAGGAGGAGGCGCCCGAGAACAACGCCGCAAAUUUAUUCGAAGAGGUUCCGGAUGUCGAGGAAGACGGCGGCGACGACAUCGACGACUUUGCCGGGUUCUCCGAAACGCAGAGUCAGUUCGCCGAAUAUGAUGAGGAAAUUAAUGAGGAGGAUGAGAGACUAAUGGAAGCAUUUGCAUUGAAGGAGCCUGGUCAGCAGAAAACACUUGCUGACCUCAUUGUCCAAAGAAUAAAAGAAAAGGAUGCGUCUGUUGCUUCAGAAAAUCGACCCGUUCCAAAAUUGGAUAACUCCAUAAUUGACAUAUACAAGGGGGUUGGGACUCAUCUCAGCAGAUAUACAAUAGGCAAAAUACCCAAGGCAUUCAAACACAUUCCCUCUAUGCAACUUUGGGAGGAGGUCUUGUAUAUAACCGAACCUGAGAAUUGGUCUCCAAAUGCUCUUUAUCAAGCCACUAGGAUUUUUGCUUCUAAUUUUGGUGCAAAAAAGGCAGAGCGCUUCUACAAGCUUGUGUUGCUUCCAAGAGUGAGAGAAGAUAUAAGGAAGAACAAACGGCUGCAUUUUGCUUUAUAUCAAACUCUGAAAAAGGCUUUGUACAAACCUGCUGCAUUCUUUAAGGGCAUACUGUUUUCACUAUGCGAGUCACGCACUUGCACUCUUAGGGAAGCAGUCAUCAUAGGAAGCAUUAUAGAAAAGGUUUCUAUUCCUCCACUUCAUUCAAGUGUUGCGCUAUUGAAGCUUUCUGGAAUGGAAUAUUGUGGCACCACAAGCUAUUUCAUAAAGCUUCUUCUGGAGAAAAAAUAUGCUUUGCCAUAUCGUGUGGUUGAUGCAGUUGUUGCUCAUUUUACAAGAUUUCUCAAUGAAACCAGGAUAAUGCCUGUUAUAUGGCACCAGUCACUUCUUGCUUUUGUGCAGAGGUACAAAAAUGAGCUGCAGAAGGAAGAUAAGGAUAGAUUAAGGAAUCUACUGGAAAAGCAAAAACAUAAAUUGGUUACACCUGAAAUUAGUAGAGAGCUAGACCACAGCCGCAACCGAGGUGAAAAGGAGGAAGAUCUUAUGUCAAUUUCCAGUCCAGUAUAUGUGAUAAACAAGACUAUUGAAGAAGAUAGAUUUGACAUUCCAGAUGUACCAAUGGAGGAGGAUUAAUUUAUUGUGUUUUUAUUUAUGAGCAUAAUCUGCUAUCUCACUAUAUCGGUUAUGGGAUUGGUCGCUCUCUGCUGUCUGAGAUUGAUAACUAUAGUCGGAUUUUUCAUCGCUAUUCACUUGGGAGGGAGAAAAUGUUUAGAGACAUGUCCUCGUUUAGUUUCACAAGGGUGCAGUUUUGAGCGUCAGCAAUCUUGUACUGCAAUGCAUGGGAUUUAUAAUUAUUAUUUGGCCAUUUUAUAUUUUUUCAGUGGUUUUUUGACAAAUGCAAUCUUUUUCUGAUGUAUUCUUACCUUAAGUGCACUAAAAUACAAUUCAACUUGCUAUAAUAUUUCUAGUGUUUUAAAUGUGGAUUAAAGGGUACUUAUGGUUGCUGUUCGUUGUAUCACUAUUACUGUUCCUUUUGCUCCGCCAA